CCUACGGGAGGCUGCAGUGGGGAAUAUUGGACAAUGGGGGGAACCCUGAUCCAGCGACGCCGCGUGAGUGAAGAAGUAUUUCGGUAUGUAAAGCUCUAUCAGCAGGGAAGAAAGAAAUGACGGUACCUGACUAAGAAGCCCCGGCUAACUACGUGCCAGCAGCCGCGGUAAUACGUAGGGGGCAAGCGUUAUCCGGAUUUACUGGGUGUAAAGGGGGCGUAGACGGCGAUGCAAGUCUGAAGUGAAAGGCGGGGGCCCAACCCCCGGACUGCUUUGGAAACUGUAUGGCUGGAGUGCAGGAGAGGUAAGUGGAAUUCCUAGUGUAGCGGUGAAAUGCGUAGAUAUUAGGAGGAACACCAGUGGCGAAGGCGGCUUACUGGACUGUAACGGACGUUGAGGCUCGAAAGCGUGGGGAGCAAACAGGAUUAGAUACCCUUGUAGUC
rnacentral:rRNA from 1 species